CACGUAGGGCGCAAGCGUUGUCCGGAAUUAUUGGGCGUAAAGAGCUCGUAGGCGGUCUGUUGCGUCCGCUGUGAAAACCCGGGGCUUAACCCUGGGCUGGCAGUGGAUACGGACAGACUAGAGUGUGGUAGGGGAGACUGGAAUUCCUGGUGUAGCGGUGAAAUGCGCAGAUAUCAGGAGGAACACCAGUGGCGAAGGCGACUACCUGGCCUGUUCUUGACGCUGAGGCGCGAAAGCUAGGGGAGCAAACGGG
rnacentral:rRNA from 1 species